GGAUGGGAGGGCAAUCUGGCUGCCACAUCUGUCUCUGCAUUGAUCACCAGGAUUGUUUGGCUGAUCUGGCUGGCUAGGCUGGUGUCCCCUUCCUCCCUCAUCACUCCAUGUAUGUCCCUUCGGAAGCUGUGUGCUCGGUCCAAGACGAUGACCAUCCCUGAUAGAGGAGGACCAUUCUUCAGUCAAGGAUAUUGGAGUAGCUGAGCUUCCCUGCUAGAACCUCCAAACAAAAAGGAGGGCCAGGCAAUAGGGCUUUGGAGCUCUUAGAAAAGAGAUGUAGUCCAGAGCCCUAGUGCUUU
rnacentral:snRNA from 1 species